GUCGAUCACAACUUUCAGAAAGAAAGAAAGAACGUAUUAUGAAACUAUCAACCGAUAAUGAAGUUCGAUGAAACAAGAAGAUUAUUACUUACGAUAUUCUUAUGAAACUUCUACGAUAUGAAACUAUUACGAUAUUCUUAUGAAACUUCUACUUCUUUCGAACGUAUUAUGAAACUGAUUCUCUUACGAUAUUUCUAUCUUCGUCUUUGAUUGCAUUUUCCCAUCUCUAUUUCUUUUUCGAUGAACUUUGUCUCCUUCUCUUCCUCCACCACCGGUUAUAAGACCAAGAGCAGAUAGGAUAAGAGCUGCUACGGUUAGAGCGGAUUCUAGCACAACCGAUUCUACUCUCACAUUUGAAGUCGAAGCAGAGGGCAUAGAGUCACCGACUAAAGCAAGACAGGAAAGGUAAUUGCUUACAGACAGACCAGAUUUUAGAAUAGCAGCUUCCUCUCAAACACCGUAUGGAGCCAAAAAAAAACCAUUUACUACGCAAACAAAACUGGCAACUGGUUGAGUUGAUAGGAUCACAGAUGAUAUUUACUCGAGCGUCUAUGGCUAAAAGACUAGCAGCAGAUUCUUCUUCAAUUACGGGAGGAGAUCAUUCUUCUUUCUUUCAUUUGCACCAGGAGCUUCGUCAAGAACAGUAAGAGCAUUAAAGCAGUCAAUCCAGUAGGCACUAACAAGAGUGGCUACUUAACAGCUGAUUCACCAGUCCCUUGUUUUUAUGUUGGUGGAUAGUGAGCUAUUGAUGUGGAUGGGCUUGAUGAGGCAAGGUGUUUACUACCCUCUCUCUGCCCGGUAACCACAAAGCCUAUGCUUCUGCUACUCAUGUUCUUUGCUGCUUUUCUUACUUAGAUGAUGUUGAUAAUUGAAUCCAUUCUCUGCCCUGUCUGAUAUGAAUAUAAUUAGAAUUGAGUUAGUCUGCUUUUUCGCUAGAAAAAGUCUCCUCUCUGUCAACGCUUGGCCACUCUAUUGCUAUUGUCGCCUGCCAGCUUGCCCGGUCUUCACCAUUUCUCCAGUAGCCCAUCCUCCAUCAUGAGUUUAGAGUCGACAAGAGCGAACAGAUAAGAGCUAUACCAGACACCUGCUGUAUUCUUCCUUCAACCCAAAUUGAAGGUAUUAUCGAAAGAAAAAAGCAAUUCAACUUGAGCAAUUCGUAUUAUUAUUCCGAGAGCAGAAGUCAAGUCUUUUUUCACAACCAUGCUAACACUCCUACCUAUAGUUGAGCAAUCCUUGUCAAUAGCUGAAACAAGUCCUACUGCCAAGCUAGUGGAUCGAUCUCUUCUACUAUUUUUUGUUAUUGUCUUUCCUCGGUUAACUAUGGAUUCUAAACCUUGUCUCAUUCGAUACCAUCUUCUUUUACUAAAAAACCUGCUGCUCUACGAUUCACUUCCGGCUCCCCGGACAUUCAGGCAGGAAAUAGCUAGAUUCUCAAGCAGCUUAUUCUGAUUGAAUUGCUUACACCGGCAACUGUAAGAGCAGAUUCUACCCCCACAUCGGAGAUUGACGGGUAUGAAUUUGAUUCUAAGUCGAAGAAUGCCCAUGAAGAGGGUCUUAUUACAGAAUCCGAAGUUUUGAAAGUAGCCCUAGACAGAUCAUUGCUAAGAGCAGAGCAGGGAAAGCUUUUUCUUGCUAAUCAGGUGCUAACAUCGUAUUAUAAUAAUCAUCUCAUUUGUCUUUCUGCUUGAAAGCUUGAACUUAGUUUGUGUAGCCUUUGCGAAGCAAGCUUACACUAAUUUUGGAAUCGGUAUUACCGCAGCUAGGAUAGAUGCUCUUUCUCUUGUUUAGUUGGGACCAAAAAUUGCCAUAGAGGAAAGAGAGCCCAAGCUUCCUUGGUCCCGACCUGACUGGCUGGGCGAGGAAGAAAUGAAUGCCUUUAGAAUGCCCUACCCACCAAGACCAAUGGCCCUUAUUCCAAUAGAUUCAAAGCGGGUAGACCUAACGAUUAGGACAAUUACUAUUGCUGUACUAAAGGCUAAAGAGGCAAGAAGAAGAACUUCUUAUUCAACAAGAGUGAAAGAAGAGAUGCGCCUAGCGGAUAGAGAAAGCUUUUCACAUUCUCCGAUCUAUGGGUACAAAGAAAAAAAAACCAAGAAAAUAUCGACCUCGACCAACUCAAGUAGAAGCCAAGGACUAUCACCGGAUUCGUUCAAAAGAGCAGAUGCCAGACUUUCACUAAAUCAGUCUCUUUCUCUUUGCAGUAGAGGAGGCGACUCUGAUCUUCACGUUACGAGGGCACCCUAGAACCAGGACCCAAUCGACAAAGAAAGGUUACUGAGCCACUUGGCUUCGUUCUCUCCUAAAGAAGUGAAUCCCGAGAAGUUCAGAGUUCAUGCUAAUGGUAGGAAUGCAGUCUCGGUCGGUGCGUGCCAAGCUUCCUCACAUCAUGGGCGCGUUGCUAGAGGAUUCCCUAUUCCCCUGUUUUAUACAGUAGGCAGAGACAAGGCAAAUAGCCUAUAUACAUGAAUCUUACUCAACGAAUCUUUUCAUGCCCAAGCCUUCUAGUGAUCCACUCAUGAGAUCCUUAUCGGAUUGAUGCCGCAAAUCGGAUGCUUUUUAAUCUAUUCCUUAAGCGAAAGCAGAAGAGGGGAUUUAUUUGGGGGAAUAACCGGGAUUAGCCUUUUUUGCCACUAGUGAAAUUAGAAUGCAAGCUGUUUUUGUUCGAGAAUCCACUGCACAUCCAUAAGCUAUUAGUAGGGACGGCAAUCAAACCCGUCUUCACGAGUUUCGGUUCGAUCCGAACUUAUAGAGUCGAAUUUUUUUUUUUUAUUUUGCGUUUCAGGUCGGGAUCGGAUCGGAUAAAAUUAAAUAAUAAUUAGGGGCGGUUUGAGUUCGGAUAUGUCUAAAAUUCGAUCCGAUAUUAUUAAAAAAUUAUUUUUUAAUUAAUUAAUUAAUUAUAUAUAUUUAUAUAAUGAUAUUUUUAAAUAUUUAUAUUUAAAAAAUAAUAUUUUAUAUUUAAAAAAUAAUAUUUUUAUUAAUUUCGAAUCAGAUCAUAUCGAAUACAAUUUAUAUAGUAUCGGAUCAAUCGAAUUCAAAUAUUAAAAAAAUUUGAAUCGAAUCAAAUUCAAAUUUAAUAAAACAUAAAAUUAAGUCGAAUUCAAAACAAACAAAACUCCCCCGAAUCCGACUUGAUACCAUUCCUAGCUAUUAAGGAGGGUUGCGCAAGUGAAUGAAGAAGGCCUAGGGCAUUCAUUAAAAGAAGACAGACUUUCGGGGGUUUGCAUGGAUGUCUUUACUUGUUGGGUAAGCCACUCUAUGGCUACGUUGGAUAUUGCCUUCUAGCAUUAAAUAUCCACGAGCAAAAGAGGAUUCCCAACAUGGGACAGGUGAGGGAAUGAUUGCUGCUAACUAGGGAUUGUGGUAGGGGAGAAAGGCAUCCAAUGCAAUGAAGAAGACAAUACGCAAAGGACUGCUUUCGAUUCAUUUUGUCUAUGGGAUUCUGUUGAGAAGAAAGGACAACCAUCCGACUCGAAGACUGCAAAUAAGAAUCAACUUUCACUCAAGAUAGCAGAAGGCGGGGAAGACCCUUAUUUACUUCGCUCUCCAGAUCGCAAGCAAGAAUUGUUAGAUGUGCAGAGGGAAACUUCCCUAAGAAAAGAAUUUCGGCUCUCGGAAGCUAUUGUUUAUUCGUACGCACGGGAUAUUCGAUUUGUUCUCCUAACCUGCUUAUUGAUUGGAUUUUCUGUUUGGUGGUUCUAUGUACCGGUACAACAUUAGAGAGCCAGAUUGGAUAAGUGCUGACGACGAUGAAUUUGGCCUUUUUUGUUUGUUCCUUGCACUUUAUUACUCCAUUCUGGACGAAUUCUUCGAAGUUUUUUCUUUACUGGUGAGAAUUCUGACAUGACUGGUAACUUGUGCACCACGAUCUUGGUGUCUAAUCCGGACAUAUCCUCAUUUGACCAAGCGAAGACAUCUUGAUAUUCUGUGAGGAAUCUGAUCAGAUCCUUUUUCGGUGAAAAGCCGCUAAGCCCUUGUCACUCUCGGUGGUUUGCCUCGGUUCCCACAGGUCUCAGUUUGUUCAAUGUUUGGUAAAGAUCUAGUCUCGAAACUUCCUCAAUAAUUUCAGCAGGUGGUUCAUUAGCUUCUUUAGUCUUGUCAACCUCAAUUCUCAUCGCAUCAAAAUCAUUCAUAAUCAAUAAUCUCAAAAUAAUCACAUUCAUUCGAUCAUAAGAAAGAGAUUUUUAACAUCUUAAAAUUAAAAAAUAAAAAAAUAAUUUUUAAUUAAAUUUAAAAUAAAAUUUUUUUAUUUAAUUUAUAAUAUAAUAAAACAUAAAAAAUAUCCUAAAAUAAAUUACAAAUAAUCGAUUACUAAACAUUUGACCAAAAUCAGGCUCAUUCCCCUGAACAAUGGACACAGUCUCCCGGUUUUGAAGAGCCUCGGUAGAGUGAACAGAAUGGUGGAAGCAUCACAGUCAGCUUCUUAUAGUGACCAUCACAUCAGUCUCAGUCAUUGAAGUCUCAUCUUCUUUGAACAGCUCAGCCAAUGCUUCCUUAGGGAUUCCCACGGUGAUCCAGUCAAUGUGUGGAAUUCAAAUAGCAGGAUUGUCUUCUUUCGCUCCAGCUCCAGGGCAUAGAAGACUAUUUUGAUAGGGUUUGGUCUGCUUGAUGUGUGGUAUACUUUUAGUCAUUAUCUUCCCAAACCUUCCUCUCCUUUCAGUCGAGCGUCUUUCGAACCUGUGCUUCUCUUGAUUGAGAAGGACUUACACCAUCCGGGGACCGGCUUUGCGAGACCAUUUCGGUCACACUGGAUAAGAAUCUUCCUCUCUCAGGCUAGGCUCAUUGGGCGCAGGUUUCUCGAUCCACUUUCUUAGUCAGUUGAAGAAGAGAGUUCACCAAGACGAAGAAAGACUUUCUGAUCUUGUACAAAGAACACCAAGCCACUCUCGUCUCGAUGAAAGUCGAAGCAGGGAAAGCAAAAAUCAGUCUAAAACCCAAUAUCCUAACUGCACACUCGCUAUACACACAGAGUGGAAAUAGUGUAGAAAACCACUGCAAAAACUCAACCAACUAACCGGGAUCGCAAGGCAUAGCAGCCGUUGAUUCCGAACCAAGCUCAGAACAACCUCAUUCCAGGUCCGACUCUCCUAGUCCAGUUUGACCGAUCUUUCGUCCUCAGCCUCUCCUGGCGAAGCGUAACCCUCCGUUUCUUUCAAAAUCCCAAUCUCCCACCUGAUUCCACUCCGGGAACUACCGUGCCCAUUAGCGAAGGAAAGGCGAGGAUCGAAGCAGGCAAUCGGUCGCUGUUAUUAUUUCUAUAAGAGAAUGCCCAUGGAUCCCGAGCCCAGGGGAUCAAAAGCAAUGAAAGCAACGAUGUAUUCUCAAUCUUCCGAGGGGUACGGAGCGGCAUUUAAGCCUUCUGAUUCAUAUCCUUUUCCCACUCCCAAGUGCCAAGAAUUUCGUAGGUAAGAAAACGAGUGGCUAGUUCGUUUUGGUAUCUACGGGUACCUACUUUAACGUUGUAGGCUUCCUACAGAAAAGUCCGACAUCCUUCGUGUCAUCCGCUGGCUACAGCGAAUCCGGACCCGUUCCAAUGGGUCGGGCAGAUAGGUCAAAUAAGGGGUUAGCUAGACCAUGGAAAGGAAAGUAGGGCGUGAAGGGUAAAGACCCCUUUUUUUUGGCAAGAUCCUACCUGGAUCUAACCCCUCGAGAAAGCACUCUUGCCUUGAUUUAGUCCCUUUCAAGGGAGUUGAAGUUCUGUUCGGAAAUGAAAGCAGUGAAAGUUGCCCAGUUCGGUUAGCCCUGCUCAACGUAAGUCAGCAUUCCAUUUUGUCUCCUUCCCUUCGUUGCGCUUUACGGAAAGUAUGGAGGAAGAGUCCGCUGUGGUAUGCUCCAUUUGAGUAGACUUUUUCGAUGACACGUAGGGCCCUUCCCAUUUAGGCUCUAACUUUCCCCUGGUCCGUCGGUUGAUAAUAGGAGGCGUACCACUCAGACGUUGUUUCCCUUCUUGAAAAAGCGGAGUCUGACCCGUUUGUUGAAGGCACUGGCCAUUCUUUGUUGAGAGAUCUCCAAGCUGCACUUGAUGCCUCCUUGAAUCGAGAGUUUCGAGCUCCGCGAGUCGGAUUAUUGCGCUUUCCUCUUCCAUUAGGUAUUCCUAGAUUGCUACCCGAAAAGAGGUUUUCUUCGAUGGGCAUAACUUCCUCUCCUCCGAAGACCUACGAGUAGGGUGUCGGAGUCCGACACCUAGUUCGGUAUGCCCACAAGGCCUCCGGGGGCCGCUCAUGCCAAUCGUUCUUGUUUUUGUCAUAGAAAGGAUUGGAUUAGAGACCUUUGUUGAACGCUUCUGCUAGCCUAGGCCUAGUAUGAAAGGAAAGGGUUGGAUUCAUAAAGAUAGGAUGUUGUGCUUGCAGGGCUAAGAAAUUCCCUUUUCUCAUGAUAAAGCGAGUGAAGAAGCAAGCUGUAACGAAAGAGAAAAAGGUAGUCGAUUCCGUCUUCAUUGAUCCGGAACAAGAGGUCAUGAUGCGAACAUAUCGUUACUACUAUUUCAUUCACACCUGGUCGAACAUAAAAAGAAGGUUGUCUAAUCUAGACGGAUUGGAAAGCCCUUUACGCCAUAAUUGAUUGAAGUGGAUCCCGAAAGUUGCGGUCUAUCCCGUAGCAGCAGUCUCUCUUUAUUCACCCCAAGAAUGAACUCUCCUUUGUUUCAUGGGAUGGAUUUCAGUAACACGGAUAGGAAUUGUUGAUUGUUGAGGAAAGACCAGAUGCAUAGACUGGUACUUUUUACUGUGUUGAGGUGUAUAGCGCGGGGUUUGAGGGAUAUUGAAUCUAUGUAACUAUGGGUUAAUUCACUUAGGAAGCAACCGGACUCGCCUCAACAAGAUAAGCUGCAUCCCGUAAGUAACGAUAGCAGAAAGAGAAGGGCUGCUUUGACUUGACUCUCCCCUUAAGUCACUUUCUUUUAUGCUUUCAGGGAAAACUUUGAAUCUUUUUGCUUUGCUUCUUCCUUGCCGCGGAUCUUUCUCACCUUCUUGUUGGAGGUUCUUCUUGACAUCCACCGUUUGAGCUUUCUAGCCAAUCUUCGGAUGUGUGUACUUAUGAACUUUCUAUCUUAGACCGGCCUCGCCGAUUGAGAACACGAUGUCUGCUUAAUCAAACUCAAGAUAAACGCCCCUAACUAAAUCGGAUAAAGAGUUAUGUUUGCUGCCCGGGUAAAAGAGUUCAUUACCUCAAGCAAGGAAGAGAACUACAAUUGAAAGCUCCACUGCUUCUACUGUCACUGAAGACCCCACCUACCUUUCCGAACCACAGAUCCUUGAAUCCCUUGAUAUGCUUGAGCGGUUGAAGUCCUAUCUCCCCCGAACCGUGCAGCCAGUCGAGAAAGAAAUGGAGCCAUAAGCAAGAGUGAUAGGGGACGAAAGCAGCCGGGCCGGGUGAACGCAGAUAGACGGAUCGGACUGGGAGAGAGUUGCUGCCAAGCCAUCUCCGACUCCUUGAACGAGGGGAUGAAAGAGCAAGAAAGAAUCUCUAAACCGACGGACUGAUCUGAUAAAUGAGAUUGGUUAGCUGCUCCCUCCCAAUCUCGCUUCAUUGACCGGGCAUCGAAAUCUUCGAACCAUCCAGCCCGAGGUUCCCAAAAAACCGAUUCCUCUGGAAUCGAAGAUUGGCAUUGGAUCCGACUUUGAUCGGAGAAAGCCUCUGGAAUUGGAACAGAUGUGGUUCGUCUGGUUGAAGGACGGACGAAGCUGGGGUUCCAUCCGCUUUUGGUAGGAACUCGGUCUUGGUGCUACAAAGAAGACUUGGCGGGAACCAGGUAGGCAGGGAAGGGCCUCGUCGAAAUCAUCGGCUCUCUGCCCAAGGCCGUGGCCCGGUUAUUGAAGAGACUUUCUCAGCGGUGGAUCGAGUAGCAUAGGCUGAGUCUAAUUCACCAUCCCGGGAUUGAGUUCUGACCAAAAAAUGCAACUAUCAUGCUUGGAUGGAAGAAGCAUUCAAGACUAUCGAGGUUGGACGGAGGCACCUCUUAUAGGUCGGGAGUGAGUUGUGAAUUCUGGUGAGUUGGCUUGGGAUGCUCGAUCUAAGAUCUUCGGAAUCAAGAUCCGGAUAGAAGAGCAUUUUUGCCUUUCUCAAUCCAAUCUCGUCUUUGAAUCGAUAGACUCCCCCUGCUGCUUUCUCUUCUCUUCUUUCAAUUUAGGGACACGUGGAUGCCGCGCUCAUCCCUUCUCUAAGAAGAUUCACUGCUUCUCCGAUAAUCGUAGAUUGAUCACUGAACCUCCCCGGCGUUGAAAGACACUCGUGCUCAGUGUCACGGUCCACGCGAUCCUCUUACUGAAAUCACGCGACCGUGCGGCACCAAGACUAAUCCUAGUCAAGGUCAGCCUUCUAUCGUGUCCAUUUUUCCGCGGACAGACCAUUUCUGAUCCUUCAAGCCACAUGCCCGUUAGCCUUUUCUGGCUUUUGACCCCGUAGGGUUGCUCAUUCCAAACUCCAUAGAGAGGAACCCAUCUCUCAUCGCACAUUGGCCCACGGUUCUCCAAUUAACCAUGAGCACCCAACUCUGGCCGCAAAGCUUAAUGCUUCGAGCACCGACCCUCAGAUCUCGUAGGGGCACACAGCCCCAGUUCUCAUGAUGUUAUUACAUCUUGGCAUGGUGAGGACCCAACACCAUGCCCGCCCGUAUGAUACGCAAGCUCCCGUAUCAAGUUUACGCAAGCACCCCAACUAAGCUGAUCAGCAGCCAGCUCUGAGCCUUUAGGCUCAUCUCGUCCCACGGGACUCGGUUCUUAGGGCUCAGGCCCUUAGCAUCAGUAUCGGCCGCCCGCACGCAUGAUUGACACCCCACAUCAUGUUAGUCCCGCAAGGGGACUUGGGUGUACUGCCCCAGCAGCAGUAUACCAGCCCGACUGGCCACACGGGUCUAGCAGCGUGCCUGCCUGCUAGCCCGCACAUCCCUCUGGCUUGAUGGCGUCCCUCCUACGCAACACCAUCACAUGAUCCUUCCGGCUCGAGGAGGGGAAACCGAGGGGCCUAGCAAUCUCUACCGCCAAACCCAUGGCUCAACGCAAAGGCGCGAUACGAGGCCCGCUGACCCCAACCGUCCCCGAGUUUACCUUACUCGAGGAAACAUCGUGCCACACUCGUGACCCUACGAUGCCCGCCCACCUAGACACCACGAGUGCCUAGGAGUAGCUCACUUCAGACUAGCCAGGCCCCCGCCUGCCCGCUAGCCAAGGGGGUGGUGGAGAGCUGACACCAGAUCAUCCUCCUAUAAAGAGCGUUAGAGAUUUUCUCACUAUGCUACCAGUGACCGUAAGAAUGUCUGAAACGGGGACACUUUUCUGCCCAGCCAUCUUAGGGCCUUUCUCCGGCUCACUCAGGGCCCCGUAACCUUCCUCUUGGUCACCAUUGCUCCUUGAUGCUGCUCAUUACUCCACCAACCCACUCGAAGGUGCCCGCACAUGACUUCGACCGACAGCACCCGUCUAGCUAGCUGGUUCCAGGGCACCGGCGUAAUGCCUCAUACUUACCUGCUUAACUCGGGGUCUAGGACAUGGACUGUCCACACACAAUGUCCUCAACAUAUUCCCCUGCUCAGAACGCCCGCACACUGCUUCCACUGCUGGCACCCGCUAGGCUACUUGGCUUGAGGGUGUCCGACCACUGUCCCGAACUUUCCCGCGUAUCUCGCGGCCCGGGGCUCCCAUUGCCCCCACAACAUGUUAACAUCUUGUUCCAAAGCUCGGAAUGCACGCCCACAUCUCGUAGAACCACUUUCCCGCCAGCUCGGUCUCGACCGCUGCUUGGUUCGGGAUCAGUCAUGGCAGGACCAAGGCCUGGCCAUGACACUCUCCCCCACUUACUAUGUCGAUGCCCUCAUCGACGGCAAGACCACACCCAACUAUCUUGUUGCACACAGCUGACAUUUCCUCAUAUGUCUCUCACUUGUGCCCUCAAGGAUUGGGUCGAGGUCCCGUCACAUGAGGUACCGUCCACAGUACUCGUCCAUUGUUGGUGUAGAUUGGUCCCAUUGUUGCUCAGCUUUGUUGUAGUUUGAACCGCCUAACCUAUCUUGGUUGUACUCAUAUGGGCCAUACCAUGGGUUCAUCCCUUGAUCCUUGUUAGGUUGCGACCUCGAGGUGCCCUCAUUGAUUGAUGACCCUCAGUAGAAUGAAUGACCACAGCUUUGCCACUCAUUUGGUGCGUCCCACCGGACGUGACCCCUCACACCAACUGCACGCUUGCAGCAUCAACUCACUGAUGCGCCCCUCUGGACGUGAUGCUUGGGUCAACCGCAUUCAUACGGCACUCUACAUGAUGACCCUAGCACAGUGGCAUUCAAGCACUUUGGUCAUCUCCCAACUUGGGUCCUCUCGGCCCCUCCAAGGUCACCUCUCUAGCUGUGGCCCUCAGGCCAACCGCCCCCAAGACGGCACCUUAAAAACGCGCUAACUCGGUCUUUGCCUCCGGCUUGAACACUAUGCUCCAUCGUCCAAGCUCCUUUAUCUUGGCUCAGUCUCAUGGGGAAUUGACAGGUCUCCCCCACUUUUACUCGAAACUCGGCACAGCAUUAUGCGCAACCCUGUCUCCUCGAUGGUUCUAUUGCUCGAUAGUUUUGACUCCAUCCCAGUUCCUAGGGCAUCCCAAAAUCCGCUUAUACUCAGAGAUCCGCUGAUUUGCUUAACUCGGGGAUUCACCCGCUCGAUCCUCAAGGUCCACUGACCUGCACGUCUGAGGCCUUGUCAACUGGCCGUUUCCCUUUUCUCGUUCCACUGGAAUACAUCCUGUCGUGGCCCACUGACCACCACUACUCGUGAAACCUUCCCUUUCGGCCAAUACAAGUUCGAUAUCCUAGUUCACACACACACUCUCGUGAUCCCCUGACCAUAAGAACUCACGGUCCACUGACCAACGCAGCUCAUGGUCCACUGACCACCUCGCUUGUGGCUUCAAUCUUUAGCCACUUCAUACUCUUCUGUGUAGUAGUCUCAUGCUCGGACCCGAAUACUUCGGCUUGCACCCCCGCUGGGGCACCUGCACCAUACAGCAAGUGCACACAUUAGUAAUUAAUCUUGCAACUCGACACCUCCUGCCCCUCAGGGCAAGGUUCGCUCGGCCCACGUGGCCUUACGCAACACCAUUUCAUGGUGUAAGCCCCUUUUCGCAUCUCGGUCUCAAUACGGUUCCUUCCACCGUGAAGGCAUUACAUGCCGCAACAUAUGCCAACACCUUUUCUAGGUGAGGCUAGACUCUGAUGCCCUUUUGCUUGGCAUCCAAGAGCCUACUCGAGAGCUUUUUCACAUAGGCCCAAUAUUUCCCGCAGCAUGCAUCGUUGGCUCUUUCCCGAGCCCCCAUAGGCACAAAACCCGCAUCUGUGUCUCGAUAGCUCCGUUUGAGCCUGGCAUCACCUCGAUUUCGCAUCACUAGACCCACACAUGGGGUCGCGUAACUCUCGCCACUGAGCCAACCUAGGCUCUGAUACCAAAAUGUCACGGUCCACGCGUUCCUCCUACUGAAACCACGCGAUCGUGCGGCACCAAGACUAAUCCUAGUCAAGGUCAGCCUUCUAUCGUGUCCAUUUUUUCACGGACAGACCAUUUCUGAUCCUUCGAGCCACAUGCCCGUUAGCCUUUUCUGGCUUUUGACCCCGUAGGGUUGCUCAUUCCAAACUCCAUAGAGAGGAACCCAUCUCUCAUCGCACAUUGGCCCACGGUUCUCCAAUUAACCAUGAGCACCCAGCUCUGGCCGCAAAGCUUAAUGCUUCGAGCACCGACCCUCAGAUCUCGUAGGGGCACACAGCCCCAGUUCUCAUGAUGUUAUUACAUCUUGGCAUGGUGAGGACCCAACACCAUGCCCGCCCGUAUGAUACACAAGCUCCCGUAUCAAGUUUACGCAAGCACCCCAACUAAGCUGGUCAGCAGCCAGCUCUGAGCCUUUAGGCUCAUCUCGUCCCACGGGACUCGGUUCUUAGGGCUCAGGCCCUUAGCAUCAGUAUCGGCCGCCCGCACGCAUGAUUGACACCCCACAUCAUGCUAGUCCCGCAAGGGGACUUGGGUGUACUGCCCCAGCAGCAGUACACCAGCCCGACUGGCCACACGGGUCUAGCAGCAUGCCUGCCUGCUAGCCCGCACAUCCCUCUGGCUUGAUGGCGUCCCUCCUACGCAACACCAUCACAUGAUCCUUCCGGCUCGAGGAGGGGAAACCGAGGGGCCUAGCGAUCUCUACCGCCAAACCCCAUGGCUCAACGCAAAGGCGCGAUACGAGGCCCGCCGACCCCAACCGUCCCCGGGUUUACCUUACCCGAGGAAACAUCGUGCCACACUCGUGACCCUACGAUGCCCGCCCACCUAGACACCACGAGUGCCUAGGAGUAGCUCACUUCAGACUAGCCAGGCCCCCGCCUGCCCGCUAGCCAAGGGGGUGGUGGAGAGCUGACACCAGAUCAUCCCCCUAUAAAGAGCGUUAGAGAUUUUCCCACUAUGCUACCAGUGACCGUAAGAAUGUCUGAAACGGGGACACUUUUCUGCCCAGCCAUCUUAGGGCCUUUCUCCGGCUCACUCAGGGCCCCGUAACCUUCCUCUUGGUCACCAUUGCUCCUUGAUGCUGCUCAUUACUCCACCAACCCACUCGAAGGUGCCCGCACAUGGCUUCGACCGACAGCACCCGUCUAGCUAGCUGGUUCCAGGGCACCGGCGUAAUGCCUCAUACUUACCUUCUUAACUCGGGGUCUAGGACAUGGACUGUCCACACACAAUGUCCUCAACAUAUUCCCCUGCUCAGAACGCCCGCACACUGCUUCCACUGCUGGCACCCGCUAGGCUACUUGGCUUGAGGGUGUCCGACCACUGUCCCGAACUUCCCCGCGUAUCUCGCGGCCCGGGGCUCCCAUUGCCCCCACAACAUGUUAACAUCUUGUUCUAAAGCUCGGAAUGCACGCCCACAUCUCGUAGAACCACUUUCCCGCCAGCUCGGUCUCGACCGCUGCUUGGUUCGGGAUCAAUCAUGGCAGGACCAAGGCCUGGCCAUGACACUCAGCCUGUAACAAAGUUUUGUGGGUUCGCUUACCAAUCUAGAUCUCGACGACUCGUGAAUCGUUUAGCAAGUUCCCUUCGAUCCUUACCUAUGCGAAGGCUAUCACACUACGUACGAUUCCUCUUAUCUGUAACCCAGAAGGUGUUCGGGGGUAGGGAAGGGUGAGUUCCUUUUCCUUCCACCUGCAUUUUGAAGGACACUGUGGCAUACUAUUCUAUACGAUGAAUGUGCAGCUAGGGGAGUUGCAGGACUCAUUCACUUUCCAAAGCUAUCAGUCCUAGACUUUCAAGGGGAUUGGGUUGGUCUUAAGUCAGUUCCUUUAGCAGCCCCUUUUUUCAAAGAGCCUAUUGGGCAAGGCAAGAACAGCAUAGAUUCCUCCAAGAGCACCUCCUCCUAACCUAAAGAGGGCAUUCGACGCCUAGUCUUCAAUCGACGGUACGAAAGUACGCUAUUCAAAGCAUGACGGAAUCGACGGUGGUCAAUCUUCCUUAGAUGUCGCCUGGCCUGGCGAUGUCCCAAUAAAGGCUCUUUCAGGCAGAAUGGUGUUAAAGGCUUACUUUCUCUCCCCUACUGUGCGUUGUCUGCUUAGCUCCAUCUUCGUCUUCGUAUAUUCCAUUCGCAUCUCGAAAGAAAAAGAGAAGAUUAGCAGACGAUUCGGGGAUAGCUUUCUGUCCUCUUCGGGCCCCUGAAACUCGUGUUUGAAUGCCGCCUGCUAGAGUUAGUACAGAUAGCGGAUGUGCCAACUCUUUUAUGUGAUGUUUAGCCCUCCCACUCCUACUUCUAGCUGCCGUCCCGCUUUCGAGAGCGGAGAAAGCUUUUUUCUUUUCUUGGAUAGGAGCUUGGCUAGCUACUUAUGAUAACUAUAAGAGAAGAAGUCUACUUCUACUCAUACCGGGUUCUUUCACUCCUAGUAUGUUGAAAGAAGUGCCAGACCCUAAGAAAAAAAAAGACUGGCUUAAGGUGCUAAGGUGCUAUAGUGUUUUUUAUAGGUGAGUGAAAAAGAGUGCAAAAUAGAAAUACAAAGAUAGCCUUUCCUCCUCGUCAACGAGAAAGUUGACUUGAAAGGCCUCACUCUUGAAAUUAUCCGUAUGUGACGUAUACUUCAACCUUCCCCAUUCAUUUCGAACCUCCGACAGUCGAAUAGCAAACCUGUCUGUCCUGUUGGUAAGGCAGGACGAGAACUCGAGUCUAGGACUGGAACAGCAGUGCUCUAAUUUCUCAUUCUCCGGUUGAAACCACUCUUGCCUGAUCCGGAACCUGCUCUAGCUACUUUUCCAUCUCCUGAACCUUCCAUCUCUUACAAAAGCUCCUUCUCGAGCAGCAAGAGGGCAUUCGAGAACAAGCCCAUCAACACAGUAGACUCUGAUCUAUCAAAGAGCUUGGGCAUCUUUCUAGGUCAGGAAAGAGACUCCAGGCGAUUCUCCCUAUGUAGUUAACCCUGAGGGAGAAAACCUUGGGCAAGUAAUCCCUCUCCCGUUGGUCGAGUCACUUCAACCCUUUCCUUUCAAUCGAGUGUCUUUGAACCUUUUGCUAUCACUCGAGCCUCUUUCAAACCUCUCCCUUCAUUCUCAUCCUGCCAAGCUGAGGUUGCCAGCGCAUUGUAUCUAACCACACUGUGGCAAAUCGAUACAAGUAGCUAAACAGCUUGCUAUACCAUACAAAGGCAUCUUCGACCGAAUGGUUAGGCAAGACAAGACUACGGCGCCUAGGCAUUUACCAAACAAGACGUCGAGAGUUUCACUUAACCAUUCCCCUCCUGCAAGUGAUAGCGGUUGUAGAUCGGUAAUGUAUAGAAGAGAGUAAGCUUUCUAUGCGGAUAGGGCGUAUCAACACCUUUUGCUGAGACUGACUUCCCAACGUGCCUCUGUUGCUGCUUCAACUAGAUCGAUUGAUUGGAUUGAUGAAGCUUGCUUUAAGCUCUCUUUUGCAGUUCCUAUGACUAUACCGGUUAUGGGUUCCUUUGUUUUAGCGCCAGUAUACCUACUUUUAAUUUUUCCCUAUUCGUUCUAUCAGCGCGUCAAUCGAGUAUCUAAAAGCGAUUAAAGAUUCAAGUUGCCAUCCUCCGUUGUUUGAAAACCGUUUACUUUUUAUGUUAUUAUUAUGGUUGGUUAUUGCGUGUAGCUUCUUUUCUCUGGUUUCGCCAGCUUAUCGUCAAUGAAAGCUGCCUCUUUAUUCUAUUUAACCCUUUGAGUCGAGUUGCUUAUAUUGCACAUCUGUUUAGUGCCCCAACCCGUUCUAUUGAAGAAUGAAGAAAUGACUCUCUUAGCAAAUCCUAGUAAGCAUAAGUAACAAGAUACGGCUUAAUAGUAAACUAAUAGUAAACUAGCUCUACUUAAGAAAAUAGAUCUACUGACUUGGUGAAACUAGCUUAUAUUUAAUAACCUUUCGGAUCCUCACCUGCUAACCUCAGUAAAGUAGCCUCUUCUGUUACACUACACAUUUUAUUAGCCGUGCUGUGCUCUCUUUCUUUUCUUUUCUUCUUAGGGUUUUUGCUUAUUAUUAUCUUAUUAUUAUAAGGGUUUCUUCUCCUUUGACUUAGCUAGUGUCAUUGGCCUUCGACUCCAUUCCUUCUUUUUCCUUUUCUUGUCUUCGAACGUGAUAAUAGAUGGAAGAAGGGACAGUUUGAUCUUGGAAAUGGCUUAUCCUCUCCUUGCUGUAGAAAUAGAGCGCUAAGAUCAAGGUAGUUCUAAUGUCCUACAUUGAAAAUAAGAGGCCGGGGUGAUACAGACAAGAAGAAGAGAAGAAAUGCCUCCAUCUCUAGGCAAAAGAAUCGGGAGUUCUGAACUUUACUUCCUUCGUUCCUGUACCCCUCUAUCCUUCUUCUUUGGGAGAACCACUAUCCCAUCAAAAACCAAAAAUGAAAAGAGAACAGAAUGGAUACAGGGACAGUUAGGGUAUCCAUUGCCCUUGCUUUGGGAAACUUUUCGAUUCUUUGAUUCUAUUCUUAUUAACGUAAACGAACGGGUCCCUCUAGCCAAGUCAAGCUUUUGCAGCUCUAUAUCUAAUUCCUACUCUUAAGUUAAGAAAAAUUGCCCGUCUUCAAGCUAGUCGAACUAGAGCAUUAUGCCAAUGAGAACCAAGAGAAGAAGGAAAUUAGAUUCCCAAAGACACAUCUAUAUUAUGCUACUCUUCGAAUUUUUUUCAUUCUUCCUUUUGAAAAUAAAUUCUAUGCCCAACUGUCUGUGGUAAGUCAGUCUGGUUUGCCUGUGGAAUCCAGCUUUCGAUCGCUUACUUUACUCUCUGUUCUAUCUUGCCUUGAGCUUACACCUGGUAUUCAUUCUUUUAUGUCUUUCGCCCGAGAGUCCCUUCCGGAUUCACGCUAUUUCCUAAUCGAAUGCUUCCCACGGACUGACUAAAGCACCACCAUCGGCAACUUUUUGAUGAAACAAGAAAAAUAAGAGCCGUCCCAUCGGUUAUUCCUUCAACGGCGAAUUCAAUACCAGCUUCACCACGACUCGAGCUAACAGCAGUGGCUUGUAUGCGCGGCCCAAGAGCUGCAACUGAAGCAUUCGUGAAUUGACUAAGCUAACCAUUUGUUCAGAGUCGAGAAGAGUUCAAAUCUGAUCUUUCAAAGACAGCAGGCUGGUCGUAGAUCAGGGAUUCGUUCAAAUAGAAGAGCGGAUUCUCUACUUUACUUCAAGCUUAGACUAUGCCUUUUAUUCAACUAUAGGCAUUCUUCUUUGAAUAAAAGCUUCACCCAUUCCUACAUAUGCUACAGACUUGGCUUCCAAGCUAAAAGCAGCCUUUCUAAACUAUACGAGACUGCCGAACCAAAGGCUGUUUAAGAAGCCAGGGUAAUCACAGCAUUCCUCCUAUCGGGUGACUUCACUCGCUUAAGCCGAAUCGCUUUCCUUAUGGCAUCUGCUUUCAAUGUCAGUUGGAUUGCCUAGUUGAUUGUUAGUUCAAUUUUAACUAGUUUCAAAGGCUUUCUGCCCCGGCUUGGGACUCACUCUUCCUUCUCACCUCAUCGCGAAUUGCAAGAGAGAAUCUAGAGUUACCAAGACAGAUAUUCUUACCACAGCUUCACGCUCUACUUACUGCUUUCCCUAAGGCAAGGAAGGUAAGAAAAGCAAGGUAAGUGCAAGCUAACUAAUGGCAAGGGCCGGAGAUAGAGAGGGAUGAAGGGGGAAUUGCAGUCAUUUUUCUCUAAUGAAGAAAGACAGAAUUCCUAGAUUCAUAUAUAGAUUAUAGAUACCACUUCUUCUGUGAUCAAUGAAUGCAUCAAAAUAAGGGAUUGAUCUAAUAGAUAUUCAAAGCUUGACUUCCAGUGCUCUUCAUUAAAGAAAAAAUAGUGGAAAGUUAUUCUAUCCAUUUGAAUAAUUUGAUUGAUUUGAUGAGAAUCUAGGUCGUUUUGGGUCAUCCUAGGAGCGAAAGACUAAUUGAAGAAGAAGAGAAGACGCAAAGAUGGUAGAUUUGGGCACUGCUCUGAACCGAAAGAUUCUUCAUGACAUCGCCUUUCAUUCAAAGUAGCUCUCUAAUUGAGUUCUUCUUAAAAAGCCACUUGAGUUCAUGUGUCCCAUGCUCAGUGAUGAUGUUCUCGGCAUCUAUCUCCUUUUGUUCCAAGUGCUUUUCAUCAUUGGUCCGAUGUUUUGGCUUCACCAAAGGAAAGAAGAUGAACAGAAGCUAAGCCUUUCUCAAUGGCUGGUUGAGUUCUUAAAGAACUGGCUUUGGUCUUUGGCGCUCGUCCUACGAAUCAACCUACCUAGACUCUAAAAAAGAGCCUUUGGGUACCAGAUCAGCUUCAAAAGGUAGUGCAUUAGGAUCUAGUUCCCUCCCUAGUUUAAGAUAUUGGAGUCGAAGCAAAUCUCAAUGCUACUUGCCUUUUCUUUUAGUAAAUCGUGGAGGUAAGCCUCUAGCUUAUUACGUAAUUAGUUCAACCUUUAUCCGGUUAAGCCUGACCCGAAUAGGAAGAGAUUUUAUCACAAAUUCACUUAUAUAUAGGCUAGGCCGAAUCGAAUAAGCAUAAGCGAAUGCGGCUAUUUCAUCCGCAUCUAUUGUUGUUGAAGGAAUAUGGGCAACAAGAAUAACUAUUUUCGCUCUUGGAGAAAGACUAUUUUGAAUGUACGAGCAGAGGUUGUUUCGGAAUAAUCGAUGUUAGCAAGAAGGGGAAGUCAAGGCAUUGACAUAGUUGAUGCAGAGAAUCCAUGGUUGUUGUUCCAGGUUGAGAGUCAGGGGUAGCAUAGCUUCUUCCACCACAAUUCUAUUUGCUGCCACCUUAUGCAGUAGAUUGUAGCUGCCAGAACGCUUUUCGGCUCGAUCCAAUCUUUAAUAAGAAGUAGCUUCAAAUCCAAUUCGUGAGACCAGAAGAAAGGUAAGUGUAAAAAAGCGUGGUCAGUGAUAGUCUUCCCCCGAGCGUAUGAUGGCUACGCAAUCUUCCUUCUUAUAUUAAAAGUUUCGUUCCUAAUGAAACUACUUGUCACGCCCCGAAUUGAGGCAUAACACGGUCGUAUUACCUUGAAGUAAAACCCUAAAGCAAUACGAAGCUUAAUCCAUAACCAUUGAACAACUCUCAAAUAUAAAAGAUUCUCAUUAAGUAACAUAGCUAGAUAACAAGUCUUCAAAGAUUCAAAGUAAAGUAUUACAACUAAAAUAAACAAUACUUCAUAAAAUCUUAUAUUUCUAAGUAGUUCUCCAAUGCUCGAUUCUUCUAGCUUUUCUCAAGCUAAUCAUACUUAUCAUUCAUAACAUCUGUAAAAGAAAAGAAAAUUGGGAAUGAGCAAACCACAGCUCAGUAAAUAAAGGCUCACACACCUUACCGGAUCAAACAUCAUUUUCAUACAUGUCAUAUAGAUCAUUCAAAACAUUUAUCAAAUCAUAAUGUCAAAACAUCUCAAUAUCAUCGUUCUGUCAAACAUUUCAUAAAUUCAUAAAUCAUUGUAAAAUAUGUUAUCAUUCAAAUAUCAUAGGCAAACCAAAUCAUGGAUCAAUCAUUAAAAAUCAUCGUAAAUCAUCAUCAUCAUUCAAAUCGUUAGCUACGAUCACUGCUAUAACCCGUGACAUUGGCCGCAUCGAUAAUUUUAUUCUUAUGAUCAUUGCUAACUAUUACAACCCGUUAGCCAGGGCUUACGCUAACUACUAUUACCCGUUAGCCAGGGUCGUAUGACAUGUCUUUGCUAACUAUUAUUACCCGUUAGCCAGGGUCGUAGAACUAGUUCUGGUGUCGAUGAUCUCACUUCCUAGGAAUAUAAAAACGUAGCUAUCAUAAAAUCAUUCUUUAAACAUAAAGCAUUUUCUCAUUUCAUUCAUAAGCAUGAUUCAUCAUUUUUAUAGAGAAACGCAAAAUAAAAAUAUGUUUGAUCCUAUUUUCAUACAUCGAAAAUAAUGAAAUAAAAUAUUCAUUCAUUUAGAAACAUACAUAUAUAUAUGGAUUCGAAAACAAGCAAAGUGUGUGAGAUUAUACUUACCUUCCUCUGAUUUCACCACCUAAUUUUUCUGCCUCAAAAUUUAGUGGCCUAUUCAAGAUAAUUCCAACAUAACAAUAAUCAAUCAACCCAUUUAAGGUCACUUAUACCAAAACAAUUAAGUUAAACAAGUAAUAACUCGAGUAAUUAAUUCUGGUAGUCUAUGCUACUUUCACUAAAACGACUAUAACACAAGAUAUCCAAUUCAGAAUUAAAAUCUUAUUAAUGUGUUAGAAACUAGACUUGACAAGCUUUCUAACCAUAUAUGGCUCAUCUCGUGAUUCUUUGUAAAUUAAUUAUAACAAUUUUUGUAAUCCACGUCAUAUGCUGCUGCCAGACAGGCUGCAUACCUUUUCAUAAAAAUUACGUAUUUAUUCAUAGGUAACUCCAAAUUCAAUUUCGUUUAUUUCAUUGGAAAGUAGACUCGAUAAGUUUUCCAAAGAUAUAUGGCUUAAACUGUAAAUCCUUAUAUAAAAAUUUAGGAAAAUUUCGUAAUUCCUCUUUACUGCUACUACUAGGCAGCCUGCACAUCCUUAGGUAAAAAUUAGAUAACUCUUCAUAGAGAACUCGAAUUCGACUCUCGUUUGUUUCAUUAGAAAGUAGAUUCAACAUGCUUUCCAACCAUAUAUAGUAAUCAUAGUAGUAUUUAACCUUUUAAUACAGAAUAUAACCUUAAUUCAUCACUACAAACACAUGAUUCAUAUCAGGAUUUAUACGAAACAAAGAUUUGCCUUUCUAUUCCCAUCAAAUUUCUGUUUCAGCAAUAAAUUCACAUUACCAACUUUCUUAACACUUAAUUUGACUCUAAUUAAAGUCUAAAUCAUCUGCCCAAAGAGCGAUAAUGGAAACCCUAAAAUUUUAGGGUUUCUCGAUUAUAAAUUACACCUUAAGACUUAACCAUCAAUACUCCAAAAUUGAAAAAGAUUAUUUACUCACCUCUAACAGAUAAUUUCUCCUUGUAGAUUUGUUCUUCCCUUCACUUGGAAUCCUUCAAUUGAUCUUUUCUGUAUAAGAAACAUAUGAGAAAUAAGUUUCUAUUUUUAUUACGGCUAAUCGUCGACUGAAAACUGAAAAGUUAACUCUAUUAAUAAAAAAAAUUAGGUUAUUUAUCAAUAAGUCCUCUGCACUUCUCAUUCUUUAUUAAAGAGUUCCUUCACUUAUAAAAAUACUUAAAAUAGUCCCUUUUUUUUGGGUAUUACAAUCCCCUCAACUUAUAAAAUAUUUCAUCCUCGAAACUUGAUUUACCUUCAUUUUCGAAUAACUGAGGAUGUCGUUUCUUCAUAUCAUCUUCCAUUUCCCAAGUAGCUUCUCUUGAUGUAUGAUUGCUCCAUUGGACUUUUAUAAAGGAAAUAGUUCUAUGCCUUAAGACUUGCUUUUUUCGAUCAAUUAUUCGAAUAGGAUAUUCCAAGUAUGUUAAAUCUUCUUGAACUUUUAAAGGUUCAUACUUUAUCACGUGGCUUGGGUUAGAGACAUACUUUCUCAACAUGGACACAUGAAAACAUUGUGCACACUAGAUAGCUGAGGUGGCAAGGCUAUCCUAUAUGCAACUUCUCCCACUUUAUCAAGAAUUUCAAAUGGACCUAUAUAACGUGGGCUUAGCUUUCCUUGCUUCCCAAACCGCAUAACACAUUUUGUGGGUGACACCUUUAAAAAAAUAAAAUUCCCUUGUUGAAAUUCUAUCUCCCUUUUCUUUUUAUCUGCCCAACUUUUCUGACGAUCUUGUGCUGCUUUAAGUCUCUCCUUAAUCACCUUGAUCUUUUCUACAGUCAAUUGUACCAUUUUUGGCCCUAGGAGUUUUUUUUCCCCAACAUCAUCCCAACAUAAAGGGGAUCUACACUUUUUACCAUACAAGGCCUCAAAAGGAGCCAUCCCAAUACUAGAUUGGUAACUGUUAUUAUAAGCGAACUCCGUUAAAGGUAAGUAAUCAUCCCAACUACCUUUUAGAUCAAUCACACAUGCUCGAAGCAUAUCUUCUAAAAUUUGAUUUGUUCUCUCUGUUUGCCCAUCUGUCUGAGGUUGGAAAGCUGUAAUCAAUUUCAAAUUUACCCCCAUAGCUCGCUGUAAGCUUACCCAAAACUUAGAAACAAAUCUAGAAUCUCUAUCUGACACAAUACUCAUUGGAACUCCAUGCAAUCGGAUAAUUUCACCCAUGUACAAUUGCGCUAGUCUAUCAAGUGGAGUAGUCGACUUGAUAGGUAGAAAAUGAGCUGAUUUAGUGAGUCUAUCAACAAUUACCCACACUACAUUAUUCCCUUUAGAUGACCUAGGCAACCCCAUCACGAAAUCCAUAGAGAUGUGCUCCCACUUCCAUUCCGGUAUCUCCAAAGGUUGUAACAACCCUGAUGGUCUUUGGUGUUCAGCCUUAACUUGCUGACACACUAGACAUUGGGACACAAACUGAGCUAUGUCAUGUUUCAUAUUAUUUCACUAAAAACUUCCUUUCAAAUAUUUAUACAUCUUAGUACCUCCAUGAUGUAUAGUGAAUCGAGACCCAUGUGCUUCCUCCAAGAUCUCUCGUUUUAGAUCAAGAUCAUUUGGGGCACAAUCUAUUUUUAAAACGUAAUGUGCCAUCCUCAUGAAGAUUAAACUCUGACCGUAAACCAUUAUGCACUUUUGUCUUAAUUCUGUCUAACUCACUAUCUUCUUCUUGUGUAAAUUUUAUCUUUUCGAUCAAAGUUGGUUGAACCAUCAAACUAGCCAUAACAACACAUUUUCCCUGUAUAAUCACCUCGAUUGCUGCGUAUCAAGUUCCUCCAACAAUUUUGGUUGCAAAGUAAGCAAAGCAGCUAUACUUCUAAUGAACUUUCUACUAAAAGCAUCAGUAACUACAUUAGCUUUGCCCGGAUGAUAAUUGACGGUCAAAUCAUAAUCUUUGAUUAAUUCCAACCAUCUUCUCUGUCUCAUGUUCAACUAUUUUUGUGUAAACAGAUACUUUAAACUCUUUGAUCCGUAUAAAUUGCACAAGGCUCUCCAUACAAAUAAUGUCUCCAUAUUUUCAAAGCAAACACAAUGGCAGCUAACUCUAAGUCAUGAGUCGGAUAAUUCUGCUCGUAGGUUUUUAAUUACCUAGAAGCAUAAGCAAUUAUCUUAUCAUUCUGCAUUAACACACAACCCAACCCCUUCUUGGAAGCAUCACUAUAAAUGGUAAAACUACCAAUAUCAGAAGGUAAAGUAAGGAUAGGUGCUAACACCAAUCGUUGCUUUAGCUCUUGAAAACUCUAUUCACAUUCUUUAGUCCAUUCAAAUUUUGCUCGCUUUUGAGUUAAACAAGUCAAUGGCACAGCAAUUUGAGAAAACCCCUCAACAAAUCUUCUAUAAUAACCUGCCAAGCCUACAAAACUUCUUAUUUCUGUCACAUUUGUCGGGCAAGGCCAAUUCACCACUGCCUCAAUCUUUUUCGAAUCAACUGAAAUCCCAUCUUCAGAAAUAACAUGACCAAGAAAACUAAUACUUGUCAACCAAAAUUCACAUUUGCUAAACUUUACGAAGAGUUGUUUAUCUCGCAAGAUCUGAAAUACAAUCUUCAAAUGUUUCUCAUGUUUCCCAUCACUCUUAGAAUAAAUAAGAAUGUCAUCAAUAAAAAUAACAACAAAUUGAUCCAAAUACUGUUUAAAAAUUCUAUUCAUCAAGUUCAUGAAUGUAACAGGUGCAUUUGUUAAUCCAAAAGGCAUAACCAAAAAUUCAUAAUGGCCAUACCUAGUUCGAAAAGCAGUCUUGGAUAUAUCACCUGCCUUAAUCUUCAACUGAUGAUAUCCAGACCGUAAAUCAAUCUUUGAAAAGACCUUUGCUCCUUAUAACUGAUCAAACAAGUCAUCAAUUCGAGGAAGAGGAUAUUUAUUCUUCAUAGUCACUUUAUUUAACUCCCUCUAAUCAAUGCAUAAGCGCAAACUCCCAUCUUUCUUUUUAACAAACAAUACAGAAGCUUCUCAAGGUGACACACUAGGACGAAUAAACUUUUUCUCUAAUAGUUCUUGGAGUUGCACAUUUAAUUCACGUAACUCAGAUGGAGCCAUGCGAUGAGGAGACUUAGAUAUUGAUCCAGUUUCAGGGAUAAGAUCGAUUUCAAAUUCAAUUUCUCGAUUAAGAGGUAAGCCAGGCAAAUCCUCAGAAAAAAUAUUAAAAAAAUCUCUAACAAUCGAAAUAUCUUAUAAUCGUGAGCCUACAUUCAUUUGAGUGUCUUUCAUAUAGGCGAGGUAGCCUAGACACCCUUUCUUUAGAGAUUGCAUGGCACUUGAGAUUGACACAAUCUGACACGAAAUGCUUAAAUGAUGACCUUCAUAUACAAGUUCUUAUUGUCCUGGACACUGAAACACUACUCUCUUUCUGUAGCAAUCAAUAACUGCAUGAUGUAUAGAUAACCAAUUCAUCACUUCUCCUGUCAAUUCUUUUCCUUCGACCCACAAGGUCUGCCAAUGUCUCAUUUUUACCACUCAUUCUUACCUAAUUUAAUACCAAUAAAAAAAUCGUAAGCGAUCAAAAUAAAAUAAUUGAAUCUUAUCAGUGUAAAUGCUAAGAAUACUUAAGUUUUACACUAACUAUAACUCAAUUUUUUCAUUUCUUGGAUCUUAAAUCUUCGCUCUGAUACCAAUUUUGUCACGUCCCGAAUCGAGGCAUAAUACGAUCGUAUUACCUUGAAGUAAAACCCUAAAGCAAUACGAAGCCUAAUCCAUAACCAUUGAACAACUCUAAAAUAUAAAAGGUUCUCAUUAAGUAACAUAGCUAGAUAACAAGUCUCCAAAGAUUCAAAGUAGAGUAUUACAACUAAAAUAAAUAAUACUUCAUAAAAUCUUAUAUUUCUAAGUAGUUCUCCAAUGCUCGAUUCUUCUAGCUUUUCUCAAGCUAAUCAUACUUAUCAUUCGAUCAGAAGAAGGUAAGUAUAAUCUCACACACUUUGCUUGUUUUCGAAUCCAUAUAUAUAUAUAUAUGUAUGUUUCUAAAUGAAUGAAUAUUUUAUUUCAUUAUUUUUGAUGUAUGAAAAUAGGAUCAAGCAUAUGAUUAUUUUACGUUUCUCUAUAGAAAUGAUGGAUCAUGCUUAUGAAUGAAAUGAGAAAAUGAUUUAUGUUUAAAGAAUGAUUUUAUGAUAGCUACGUUUUUAUAUUCCUGGAAAGUGAGAUCAUCGACACCAGAACUAGUUCUACGACCCUGGCUAACAGAUAAUAGUAGUUAGCAAAGACAUGAUCAUACGACCCUGGCUAACGGGUAAUAGUAGUUAGCGUAAGCCCUGACUAACGGGUUAUAAUAGUUAGCAAUGAUUAUGAGAAUGAAAUUAUCGAUACGACCAAUGUCACGGGUUAUAGUAGUGACCGUAGCUAACGAUUUGAAUGAUGAUGAUGAUUUACGAUGAUUUUUAAUGAUUGAUCCAUGAUUUGGUUUGCCUAUGAUAUUUGAAUGAUAACAUAUUUUACAAUGAUUUAUGAAUUUAUGAAAUGUUUGACAAAAUGAUGAUAUUGAGAUGUUUUGACAUUAUGAUUUGAUAAAUGUUUUGAAUGAUCUAUAUGACAUGUAUGUAAAUAAUGUUUGAUCCGAUAAGGUGUGUGAGCCUUUACUUACUGAGCUGUGAUUUGUUCAUUCCCUAUUUACUUUUCUUUUACAGAUGUUAUGAAUGAUAAGUAUGAUUAGCUUGAGAAAAGCUAGAAGAAUCGAGCAUUGGAGAACUACUUAGAAAUAUAAGAUUUUAUGAAGUAUUAUUUAUUUUAGUUGUAAUACUCUACUUUGAAUCUUUGGAGACUUGUUAUCUAGCUAUGUUACUUAAUGAGAACCUUUUAUAUUUUAGAGUUGUUCAAUGGUUAUGGAUUAGGCUUCGUAUUGCUUUAGGGUUUUACUUCAAGAUAAUACGGUCGUGUUAUGCCUUGAUUCGGGGCGUGACACUACUCUAACUAAGAAUUUAGUUCCAUCCGUAUAGGUUUUGCAUAAUUAUCAUCUAAGCAUGGGCAAGGGCAUUAUUGGGUACAGUGAGCAUCCAAGUGAGAUUUCCACCAUUUAAUUGAUACUGUAGCUAUUGAAUCAAUAGUGAAGGAGAAGAAAGAAGAAUCUAAGGCUGAUUUACUAGUUUUUUAUUAAAAAAGGCUCUCUCUUAAACAAGAGAUACAAGAAUAAAGUACCCCCAGACCUACGAUGCAAGAGUUUAAUCACAAGGAUUCAACCACCUGGUCGACCCAGAAAGAAAGGAACAUUGAUUACCGACUUUGGCACCUUAACUAUCUGUAGAUUGACAUCUCUCCUUGUGGGGCAUACAUCAGAAAAAGAACAAAUUUAGAAAAGAGAUAGAUCCCAACCCACUGAGCGAAGUAAAUUGUCUCACUUGUAUGUCGAUUAAGCUUUUUAUGGCAGGAUUGAAAGAUCUUCCACCACCCUGUUUCGCUUAGCCUCAUAGGAUUUUUUUGAUAAUUUCGUUCACUUUCUCUUUCCAUUAGAUUGUUAGGCUUUUUAAAUCCUUAAUGAACCAUUGGAUUUAAACGAAGAGAAAGGUCGUCUUAGUGAAAGAGCUAGCUCUAACUACAAAUAUCUUUGUAUUCAUAGUCUCCUAUCUUGGUCUCCUUCAAAAAGCUAAUAAACUUCAUGCACAAAUCCAAUACCUGGCUAAGGUAGGAUCAUGUUUGCUUUACGCAAUUCAAGUAUUAUUAUAUUGGUUAAAAUAAAACAAUCGGGGCAGAGCCUGGUAACUGCUUUCUUCUUUAAAGGACAUCCAAUGCCCACAUCCAUUGAAUAGGUCCUUCACAAUUUGAAUUUUGCUUUCUGUUAUUGCUCAUAUCGAAGUUGUUUAAUCAUUUAUGCAGUAUCAAUAAGAUGCAUAGCUCGUUUCAAUAAUUGACCAAAAGACAUGUAUGUAGAAUGUUAGCUACAAGAAGCUGUUGGUGGGAUCCACUAAGAUCAGAUUAGCUGAACAAAUAAAUGGGGUAGAAGCUAUUCAAAAAGUCUCAUGUAAGGACGUGAUAGAUCCGUUAUAUCCGUCAGAGCAUAUGCACAAGAAGUGUUAAGGCGAUGAUUGGCCCAAAAGUCAAAUAAAGUUUUGAUAAGAAUUAGUAAGACCUGCCUUACGAAUUGUCUCACCUGAGGCGAGAACUUGAAUCUAGUAGGAUGGGUACUUUCUUUUAUACUAAUCGGCUCAUGACGAGUUACUUUCGAGUUAUCCAUCUAUUUAUUACAACGAUUAGAUGACAAUCUUCCCUUCCUCUUUUUAAGGAGGCAAAAAACCUCUCAACCUCACUCCUAGAAUGAAGUAGUAAGAACCGGGGGCGAAAGAUGAAAGUUUGAUAAACCAAGAAUACUAUGACGGUGAAGAGCCUGAAUUAUAUAUAUCACUUCCUUCUUCUGAAAAAAGAAUUGCUCAAAAGCUUGAUGAAGAAACAAAAAGAGUGUUUUUUCUUAACCGCAUAAGCAAAAUGGAAACAAAAAUGCCUAUAAAACAAACUAACCUCUGGUCGAGACUAAGUCUUCGAUAGAAAAGCUCUGUUACACACCAACCCCUUAUCUUUACCUUUAUCGUCUUUUACCUCCUACCUCAGUCCUUUGCUGGCAUGGCUUGAAUGAGAGAAAAUGGAUGGCCAACGAUGUCUAUUACAGGAAUUCAAUUCUUCCAAAGAAACUAAAACCAAUACUUUCUCUAAUCCAACAGAGAAAAAAAAAAAAAAGAGUUGUGCUGCUGCAUCAUUCUUCAAUUGAUCGAUGGCAUUUCCCAAAGGAGAGGAUGGAGUGCUAUAUACAAAAGGACAGGUGCCCUUAUUGAUGUUCCCAAUAGUGGUGGACACUCUUUUUGCAUAGAAGCUUUGAAACCUCACGAUGGCUAUCAAGAAGGUCAGGUGAUGCGGUAAUGAGGUUGACUAGAUAGGGGAGGCUUGCGUCUAAAUAAGGCUCGACAGAGACCUAUUCUUAUUCUUAUUAUUCUAUAUUAUACUAGAAUAAAAUAAAGUGAGCUCAAUCAGAGUAGUAUUUUUGUCAUGGCCCAAGAUCAAGACGUAACACGGCCAUAUUACUUUGAAGAAAAUCUCAAAGUAAUACGAAGCCUUCUUUCUUAAACAUUCUAAAAUUCUUCAAUAAAAUAAUCUACUAAGUAAAAUUCAUAUCUUUAAUCCAACUGAUGAUAUAUCUUUAUAUAUCCAAAUACAAAUCAUAUAAAAUAUAAAACUGCCUCUUAAAAUCUUAUUGACCAACAUAUUCUUCGAAGAUUAAGUAAUCGUACCCAAUUCAUCUUCUAGCUUUACAUAAGACUAAUCAAACUUAUCACUUAGUCAUCUGUAAAAAAAAAAGUAAAAGGAAAUGAGCAAACCACAGCUCAGUAAGUAUAGGCUCACACACUUUACCAGAUCAAGCAUCAUUUUCUUACACAUCAUAUAGAUCAUUCAAAAUAUUCAUCAAAUCAUAAUAUCAAAACAUUUCAAGAUUAUCGUUUUGUCAAAUAUUUCAUAAAUUCAUAAAUCAAUAUCAAAAUAUGUCACUUCAUAAAUCAUUGUAAAAUAUGAUAUCAUUCAAAUAUCAUAAUCAAACCAAAUCAUGGAUUAAUAAUUAAAAUCAUCAUAAAUCAUUAUUAUCAUUCAAAUCAUUAGCUACGGUUACUGUUAUAACCCGUGACAUUGACCGUAUCGACAAUUUCAUUCUCAUGAUCAUUGCUAACUAUUAUAACCCGUUAACCAGGGCUUACGUUAACUACUAUUACCCGUUAGCCAGGGUCGUAUGAUCAUGUCUUUGCUAACUACUAUUACCCGUUAGCCAGGGUCAUAGAACUAAUUCUGGUGUCGGUGAUCCCACUUCCCAGAGAUAUAAAAACGUAGCUAUCAUAAAAUCAUUCUUUAAACAUAAAUCAUUUUUUCAUUUCAUUCAUAAGCAUGAUCCAUCAUUUAUAUAGAGAAAUACAAAAUAAUCAUAUGCUUGAUCUUAUUUUCAUACACUGAAAAUAAUGAAAUAAAACAUUCUUUCAUUUAGAAACAUAUAUAUAUAUACAUAGAUUCGAAAACAAACAAAGUGUGUGAGAUCUACUUACCUCCAUUUGAUUCCACCACUUAGUUUUUCCCCUAAAAUAAUUAAUGGCCUAUCCAAGAUCAUUUCAACAGAUCAGAAUUUAAUCAACCCUUUUUUAGACCAUUUAUACAAAAAUCAACUAAGUUACACAAGAGUUAACUUAACUAAUUAAUACUGACAGCCUGACCUCUUUUCAUUAAAAUAGUCAUGUCUCAACAUAUCCAAAUCGAAAUUAUGAUCUCUUUAAUACGUUAGAAACUAGACUUGAUAAGCUUUCUAAUCAUAUAUGGCACACAUCGUAAUUUUUUGUAGAUUAAUUAUAACAAAUUUUGAAAUUCACGUCAUAUACUGUUGCCAAAUAGCCUGUAUACCUUUUAAUAAAAACUAUAUAUUUAUUUACAGGAAACUCCAAAUUCAAUUCCGCUUAUUUCAUUGGAAAGUAGACUCAAUAAGCUUUCCAAAAAUAUAUGGCUUAAUAUGUAAAUCUUUGUAUACAAAUUAAAAAGAAUUUCGUAAUUCAACCCUGAUGCUAUUGUCUUACAGCUUGCAUAUCUUUAAGUUAAAAUUAGACAACUUUUCAUAGAAAACUCGGAUUUAACUUUCAUAUGUUUCAUUAGAAACUAGAUUCAACAUGCUUUCCAAUGAUAUAUAAUAAUCACAGCAAUAAUCUAUCCAUUAAUGUAAAAUUCUAUUUUAAUUCAUUAUUACAGAUCACAACAUCUCAUCUAAAAAUAAAAUUUCUCCUUUAAUCUUUAAAAACUCAAAUUUUUACUUUCAGCCUUCAAACUCCAUUCAAUAAUCAUCAAUAAAUCUUAAGAACAUGAAAUAAACAAAGCUCAGUAAUUUAUCCAAAUAGAUCAUCAAAAUUAAUGAAGGAUUUUAUGAUUUUUUUUUGUUUUUCUUUCAAAACUUCAACUCCAAAUAAUAGCAAUCAAUUUGAUAUUUCUUCUUAAAUAAAAAUAGGGCAUGUCCUUACCUUUAAGGGAUUAACUUGAUUGUAGCCUCUGAUUGCGAAUCUCAAACUUGAUUUUUCAUAUUCUCUAACCUUAAGGAAGAUGAGAAAGAAGAACUCUAUUUUCUUUCUGUUUUAUAAUUAGAUUUUUUUUCAUCUAAUAUUUUAUUUUAUUUUUUUACUAAAUAAUGUUUUAAUAAAUUUAUGAACUUUAACAUUAAUUUAAUCUAAUUAUUAUUUGAGUUUGAAGUAUUACAAUUAUUUUUCAUUAUCUACUAAGCAAUCCGAGUACUAUUUGCUUUCCAAAACUGUACUAACUCAUAAGUGCAAACACCCACGAGGCUAUCUUUCUAGGGCGGCCCCCUUUUCGAUCCCUGUUCUCGCUAGAGGAGGAGCAGCAGGCCCUAAGCUGUGUGACGGGGUCAUGAAAAAGAAAAGAAUAUGCUUAGGCAGGCGCAUAAACGUAGAAUGCAGACACUGAAUCAAGAGACGCAAAUAAAGAAAAUCAAUUUAUUUUUAUUUAUCCUAUCUGCUCACUCAGGUCAUCGAUAAGGCAUCCAAACCAACGAGUUCGUGCACCAGCCGCCAAUGUGUUUUGAUGUUAUUCCUCAUUGCAAGUCAAAGGAAAGCGAUCGAGGAGAGGAUUCUUAGCUUGAAUGCGCCACGAGUGACGGAUGGUUGAAUCGCACCUACUACGAAAGUAGCCAUGGAUGUGAUGAGUGGAGGAAUGGCUAAACCGACCAACCAUUUAUAUAAAGAAUAUACUCUAAUUUACAAAUCAAAUAAGGGAUAUAGAAUUCUUCUCUAUCGUCUUUCAACCUUUGCUCUUGCCUUGGCUUCGCCUUCCACCUUAUUAAGCUUUGGACUUCCACCUUCAGUUAAGCACCUAACCCGUGGGACGGGACCUUUGGUCUAGCCUUUUUUCGGGUAUGGGAUCGACCUUCUCUUUUUCCCUGUCUCUCGCGCCGAUAUUGGUGGCUGAACCAUCUCCCCCCCCCCCCCCGUCAGAUUGGUUCUCUCUCUCCAAUUAGGAAAGGCUGAUAAGAAAUCGUAUCAAAUACUAUUCCCCGCUUAUCCAUCGGAGAGAGGAACUGUCCUAGCUGAGCUUUAACUCCUCGAUUCAAGAAGAGCUCGGGGAUAGGAGGAGAAUAAGAGGUUAGCAAAGUACGAACGUUUUCCAAGCGAGCCAUAGGAGUCUAGGUUUUGCGAGCUAGUCCGAAAAAGAGGCAAGCCUAUUUAAAUUAAAGGUUUAGGUCCAAUCAUUCUCCCCAUGUGCUAUCGGGCGUGGGGAUUAGGGCAUAACUACCGUUGUUUAAGGGUAUGAGGAAUGGGGUGGUUAAGAAAAAAAAGGUUAGCCGAGGUCUUACUAAGAAAAUGUCCUAUUAUUGACUUAUUGACUUAAAGCUUUGUCCUAUACCGAUAAGAUAGCGAGGUUAAUCGUUAAUAUCCACGUAGGUAGGAGAUUGCCCGUAUAUGCUCUUCGAGAAGUAGCGACUAUAUUAAUAAGCUGAGAAUGCUACCUUAACUUGUGUUCAUGCAAGCGCUACUCCGAAGGUUGUCAUCAUAGGAUUGAAGAGUUCAGCCAAUUGUCCGGUUUGGUUCAUUUGUCUUCCUAGUAUAUCUCAUACCGCCAUCCAUCCUUGGCCUAGUCCCAGAGCACUACUAAUAGCCACCACAUGAACUCGAGACGAUGGAGGGCUCGGGUGUCCUAAAAACGAGGGAUUUGAAAGAAAAAAGUCAGCUCUUAUCGGUUAGAGAACGAAUUAUUUGUUUGAAGCAUGUGACUUUGAGUGACUUGUAUCAGACGAGUUAGCCUUCCUUCAGAUAAACGAUUAGGCAGGAUGAAGCCCCGAGCUUUUACCAUGUCUUCUGAACACGAACUCUUAACUUAGAAAUUGCGAAAAGAAGGACAUAUAAUGGUGAGUCGAAUCAUGUGCAGUAGACUUUCCGUCAGACUUGACGUGCUUCACAAAUUCCUUUCGGUUGGUUCUUUCCGGGUGUAGAGACAGACAAUCCCAUGUGUUUGUGUACCAAGAAUUCUCAAAGCUUUUUCUAAGACAUGUUUUGGACAUCACUAGGACCAGAAGUCUUAAUUUUUGCUUGAGACGAAGGUAGGAAAGGGCUCAGGGUGCAGAAUAGGUAUUUGGCUUGGCUUGUUGUAGGGCAGUUUGGAAAGAAAAGACGGAGAAGCUACAGAAGGAGAAAAAGAAGCUAGGUUCGUUCGAACAGUAGUAGAAAGAGAAAGAAUACAACCAUAAGAGUUACAUCUCGCUCAUGUGGGAAAGCCGCUUAUUCCAUAAUUCAGUGGAGGAGUCCUUAGCUGCAUUCACCAUCCCCUUCGGACUCUCUCCCCUUUCGUCAUAAGGCGUGGUUCAGUCAUUGCCGUUCCAGGCUCCCGAUUAGGAUAAGCCCUUAUGCAUGGGGCAGGUGGUAGCAGUGCAACACUAUACAACUCUGAUCAUUUAUUAAGUUCAAUGAAUAAUAAAUAGUGCUUGCACAGCCAAUUCCUAAUCCUGCAGAGUCCGUUCGAGAACCAGUACCCGCGUAUCCAUGUAUUCUAAGCUAAGCUCUUUGCCCUGACAACAUAAGAUUGCUUUCGUGAAGCUCCAGCAACUUUCCACUCAAAUAAUCAGAGGAUUCGGUGACAAUGAGUUUUCCCAGUCCAGUCCGAAUCUCAUUCUCUUUGUUUUGUCUCUGUGGCUGCUAGAAAGAUAAGUGAAGCUUCUUUUUCGACAUUGACAUGAAGACCCCCAACUAAGCUAAGCGGCAAGCUUAUAAAGCAAGAUUCUCCGCAUCCUGAAUACUUGUUUUGUUUGAAGCCUAGUUUCCUUCUCUCGAGGGAAGAAACUGCGCCAUCCCCAUCUCCUACUGAAAGCGAAGGGGAGAAAAAAAAAGAAAAGCUUACUACUAGGUUGACUCUACGAAUGGGAAGAAAAAAUAGAAUAAGCUUAGAACUAGGAUUCCUCUCUCUAGGCAUUCUAGAACACCCCUCUUCGGGAUAACUUAUAGACUAUUAGUAACACAAGGAAUGUUUACAGACAGAAGAUCCAGUAACUGAUAGGAAAUCUAUAUAGGUUUUGCCAUAUACAGAAAGAAAGCAAACAAAGAAAGACAAGCUUGACUUCUGAUAUCACAAGCUUACGAAGCUGACUAUUUCAAUCAUUUAAUAUUUAUCUAAAGACAGACCAAUGACACCCAAGCUUACGGUUACUCUUUUAUUGUAAUCUUUUAUUGUAAAGUAAAGGCUUCUUGGCCGCUACACUAGGCUGCUUACUGUUCUCAUUAGUAUUCAUCCUAUAAUCGUGGGUCAAACCUUCCAGUUGAGCUUCUUCCUCUAGGUUACCCCUUCCAGAAUGUAAGGAUCAGUGGCAUCUUACUAUUUCAAGAAAAGACCAGCGACAUCCGAAGCUGGCUAUUCAGAUAGAAAGAAAGGGUAGAAAAACUCUUUUCUUUUCCGUUAAAAGAUAGGCUUCUCUCUAGGCUUAAGGGCCUUAAUCUUCUGGUUUUCACUAUUUUCAUUACUAUUCUUCCAGCUAGGUUGACCCUUCAGGUCUAGGAACGGGCGGCAAAGCCCCCAAAGAAAGGAACUCAAACCCAGUUUCCCCCGCCUUUCCUCUUAUGGAGGUAAUCUUCUAGCUACAAAAAGGAAGAAGCUUUUCUAAAACAGAAAGGGUUUUAAGGGAAGCUUUGGAGCUCAGUUUCCUCUCCCAGUAGUUUUAGGUAAGGCCCUCAAACAAAGACAAUAAAGAAAGACAAGGGAACAUCCAUACUGACUAGAAAUCUCUUGCGAAUCAUCCCCUUCAGGAUAGUGUCCCCGGGGUGCAUUCGUAAUCAAAGUCUCAAAAAAAGUUAGAUGUUAUAUUCCCUUUAGGCCUCCCAUUCUACGUUCCACUAGAAGUCUUAUAGCUAUCCCAGAACGGUAAAAUUUAAAGGCAAGCAAGAAAAAAAGGACUAAUUUCAGCUCUCACUGACUAUUCUACUCUAGGCUUCUUAAAAGGCUUAAUCUCAUCGUCAAUAGAGUUUCAAGUUGGUCAACAGGCCUCAACCGACAGAAUCUCUAGUUUAAAUUGGGCCCUCGUUUCUUUUAAAAGGCCUUUUUCGAAGUGAACGCCGGAGAAGGCAAAUCAAAAAAAAGAAAAAUUCCUCUCGAUUUCUUGCCUUGUUCAAGUUUCCCCAAAAGGAUGUACGCCAGUAAAUCGGCUCCCCAAAAGUAAAAUGUCAACGCUUCCAAAUGAAAUCAGCCUGAAAAAAAGAAGCGAAGUCUUCAACUAAACCGGUGGUGCCAUCUCUGCGCUUACUUCCGUUCCGAUUCGAGAGGCUUCUUCCGACUAUUCUAUUUUUGGGCGGCUUGCCGCUUACUCUCAGAGUGUAGAGUGACUCUUCUCCGGAAGCUUCUAGCCAGUCUGGUCUGACUAUUUAUUCUAAAUAGAUAGGGGUCAAACAAAUACCGGAACAGCGGGCAAAGCAGUCCUUUCUUCAACCACUAUUGUGGUAGGAACACAUUCUUCGAGCGGGAGAACAUUCUGACUUGAAAUAAAGUCUAGGCUAGCUGCAGUGCCAUCUUAAUCUUAUAGUUGUUUUCACUUUUCUAGUUGGAGUUGAUUCCUACUCUCGAACGGAAAGCAAGUAAGCCUUUAAAGCUUUGAAUAUUCGACUCGAAAUCUUGCUUCUAGCUUUGGGCACGUAAACAGAAAUAGCACAUAUAAAGGAAUUCAGGUACCUCAUACCUGUUUCACUAGUCGGUUAGACUAAAAUUCUCACCAAUUAAUAAGUACACUGAGGUAUCAUAGCUCCGUAACAUAACGUAUGUAGCAAUUGUUUAUCAAUUUCAUUUGCCUAUUCCCAUCAGAAGCUAAAACCAAUGGCAUGGGUCAUCUUCCUACGCAUCGAUCAAUCAGGCAUCACUACUAGUUUUGAGCUCCACGGAGACGGAGCGCGGUAAUCAUUCGAUUUCGUCCCGAGUUUUUUUUUUGCCUACUGUGUAGAUUCAGGUACGUAUUGUCUUGGUCUUUUUCUCCUCUUUAUCUUUUGACUGACUGGAUACUUUAAGUGUGGGGCGAUAGCAAGACAGAGGUGAUGGCUAUUCACAAGAUUAGCAAUUGAAAUAGGACUGAGGUCCACAAAAACAAAAAAGCCUCUCACUCGGAACCGCUUAGCAAACUCGGCUGAGCGGAGAUCAACGACUUUUGGGUCGAGAUCGUGACCCCCAAAUCUUGUAAAGCUAGCUUAUAGACUUUAGCUACAGACUCAUCAGCUAUGAGUAUAUCAUCACCGAGUACUGCAUACCUAAUAAAGUACCUGGGUACACCUAUUUGGCCAACCACCGCACCACAUAAUGGUGAGUGAGGGCAAAGACAGGCCACGAUGCAUAAUAACCGAAAAUGCCCGCUCCUUCGUCGUUGGGAUUUUCUAUUUUUUUUGUUGGAAAAAAGAAGCAGCCAUAAGCCAGGCUCAGAACUAAGAAGAAAAGCAAAUACAAAGAAGUCUCAUUAGACCUUUUAAAAACGAAGAAAUAUGCCAUUUGAAGUGAUCGAAAACCUUAUUUACUUCUAUAAUAAUUCGAAUUCUCGUCUUCAAAGGUUAAGGUCCAGUCGUCCGUCCAGUUUCAGCAAUGUAAGGUCCCAUGAACCUUCAGCCACAAGCCUUCUUUCGUCAAAUAGAACGAAUCGUUGGGUUCCACCCGGAGACGAAAGCCUACUUUUUGUCUUGUCCUGUAGUGGUCUAGCCCUGCUUCUUGUUCCGCCCCUGCGGAUAUAUACCUAUUUUUAUCAGAUUCGUCUUACGCUUUAAACAUUGGAGCACUUUCUAAAGCCAAAACUUGGUUUGUCACACUCGCUUCGGUGGGUGUAAACUCACCACUGUAGCAUCAAAACCAAAAGCUCCUGUUCCCCCCUAAUCUUAAGUUAAGAAUCCGAAGCUUAAGCCAAAUCUGAAGCUAGAAAAGAGGGGAAUAAAUGAUUCCAGUAGCCAAGCCAAUAUGGGGUCUAUAACCACAAUAAGAAUACCCGUGAUCCGGGGCAUUCCGCAGUUAAAGUUGAUGAUUUGUUUUCAAAUUUUUCGUCCGUCUGUGUGAAAAGGGGAAAAGUAUGUAAGAUCCGAUCCACCUUAAGUUACGUGGCCUGAGCCUGUUCCUAAAGCAUAGGCUAUAGUACCAAAUCCAAGGUAUAAAGAAGCCUAAGCCGACGCCGAAUCUGCACCUGCAGAAUAAAAAUAAUCUUCAAAAUCAGAAAAUGAAUAGUACGUAAAGAAAGGGCUUUUUGAUCCCCGAUCUGAGUCUCGUCUUUCGAAGGGUCUCGUUCCGUUCAUAUGCCGCUCAUUUGUAGCAGGGUUUUUGUAUGUUUUAGAUAAGUAAGACAAGCGCUUCAUUACGCGUGAUUCUAAUUCUAGCAUAUGCUCAGCUGCUCCUACCAAACAUUAAAGGCAAAAGGAUGCUUAUCUGGAUCUGGAUCAGCCUACUUCUUCUAUGUUACGUCCGUCCCCUUGUAUUCAGUAGGUCAGGGAGGUACCCGCCCGCGCUUUUUCUUACCCGGAAACACGUCGCUAGCCUAAGGCAGGCUUCGCUAUCCUCCCGAAGCUGUCAUUUUCCAAUGUAAUGGUUUUUCACUUAUAUGGGUACAAGGGGCUUUACUAUAUUUUACUUUAUGUAAUUAAGUUUAGCUGUAGUUAGAGUGGGUCGAUCUAGCCGCCUUAAUUGACCCGGUUGAAGAUCACAUUACUAAAUCCGAAUGAUGAUUUCAUAAUCAAUCAUAGAGGUGUGAAAUGGCAUCUUUUCAGAAGUCAGAUAGACCGUUGGAAGGUUAGCGCACAUCAUUUUUCUAUUUAGCUCCGAAGGCAACCCGUCGCGCCCUCGUCGCGGCGUUAGCAGCCAUUGACGAUGUAUUGAAGACUAAGCGAGCCGGCCUAGAACGGAGCACAUGCUACUUCUUCGAAAUCGCGAACACCUUACCUUUCUUCUUUUCUUAGUCUGAUCCGGACACUCCAGACCUCGGUUCUUGGCUUUGAUCCAAUUCCGAAGCUCGUUUGCUCACUAGCCGAUGUUAUUUUCAAUUUUAUUAGUUAGAAAAAAAAGUAUUGAGAUACCGUACCGCCUUAAACAAGCGCCAGGAAAAUAGAGCUUACCGCGCUGAGUUACGUCGUAGGCGAAGCUUUCGAUUCGACAAAUGGUUGAUGCUCUUAUGCAUUUAAAUUGUUGAGCUCAUGUUUUUAGGAUCAGUAGGUCGGGUGUCAUGGGCUAAGCUUUCUCUUAAUAAGUGAUAGAUCAUAUGGACGCUCCCACUUAAGUCAGCCAACAAUAACUCGAUAUCUGAACAAGUAACCAUAAGUCACAGUUAAUCUCAAGCAUACACAAGAAGACAUAUUUAUAUCAAGAGAAAAAAAAAUACAUCAAGACAACACUCGAGACUUUCGAAUAAAAGAUGUAUUUUAUUAUUAUCGAAAAUAAUACAUCGAAACUUCACACCAUCGUCGGGGCCAGGGGGUAGCCCUUGACGAGUGGCCUACUUUUGUACCUUAACCAAUGAGACAGCCCAAUAGUAUGUUGACUGCUCAACUCCCUAAAGAGCAACUGAGAUUUUAUAGCUAUGUUACCACUAACCAUUACAAUGUUUGAAAUGGGUAUACUUUUUCUAGCCUAAGGGGUUUAUCCUUCCCUUUGGCACCUCUACCUGGUCAUGGCCCUAUACAUGAGUGGCACAUGAUUACCUAAACCCGAUCAUGGCCCUAUAUAAAAGCGUUGUCUCAUGACAUCCUCCCCCACCUAUUCUAUCGAUGACUGCAUCGAUUUGUUAGCUUGAAAUUCUUCAAUCUUCCUCUUGAAUACCCGAAGGUCGUGCUCUAUCUCUCAGCUAGUUUCUUCUGAUCCUAAGCCCUCCCAUUUCACUUAAUAUUUGUGAACUAAUCUUUUUGAUACUCUGGAUACUCUGUCGGCUAGGAUCUCUUCAACGUGGUGCUCUGAUGGUGGCUUCAUGGUGAUGGCAACCCUGGUUGACUCCUUGUGACUUGCAUCUCUUGGAUUUGCAUAGAAAGGUUUCAAGUUGCUCACAUGGAAUACUGGGUGUACUUUCAUCCAUUUUGGUGGGUUUAUUUUGUAGGCAGCAUUUCCCACCUUGAUAAUGAUCUUCACUAGGCCCUCAUACUUUCACACCAAUCUACAGUCUUGCUUUUUCAGGAACCUAGUUUGUUCGGGCACUAAUCUGACUACAACGAGAUCACCAACUUGGAAUUGUUGUGCUCUCCGACCUUUGUCUGCCCACUUCUUCAUGCACUAGGAUGCCUUUUCUAGGUAAGCUCGUACAAUCUCUGUGUUCUGUUUCUAUUCUUUACUGAGGUUGAAGGCUUGAGGAUUCUUUCUUCCAUAUUGCUUAAAAGAGGUAUAGGGUAGUCUUGGUAGUUGUUCUGUGACCACCUCGAACGGACUUUUGUUGGUGGAAGAGUUCUUAUUGGAAUUGAAACAGAGUUGGGUAAUGUCUAGUAACGAAGGCUAGUUCUUCUGAUUGGCUUGAACAAAGUGCCUUAAGAACUCUUCCAAUAGCCCAUUGAACCGUUCAGUUUGUCCAUCUGUUUGAGGGUGAUAGCUUGAAGAAAUAUUGAGUUAAGAUCCCAAAAUCUUGAAAAGUUCUUUCCAAAAUGAUCCCGUGAAUCUUGGAUCCGUGUCACUGACAAUGUUUUGAGGAAGGCCCCAAUACUUGAUCACAUGUUUAAACAUUAGUUGAGCUGUAUCUUUCGCAAUACAAAACUUAAGGACGUGAAUGAAUGUAGCAUACUUCGAGAAACGGUCAAUAACCACCAAGAUCGACCCAAGAUCACCCACUUUAGGAAAAUUUGAUAUGAAAUCAAGAGAGAUGGUUUUCCAUGAUUGGGUGGGCACUGGUAAUGGUUCGAGCAAGCUUGCUAGUUUAUUCUUUUCAACUUUAUCAUGUUGGUAAAUAAGACACAUCUUGUUGUAGUCCAUCACAUAUUGUCACAUGCGAGGCCAAUAGUAGCCUUGUUUUAAUAGAGUAAAAGUACGUUGCCAACCUGAGUGACCUGCCCAUGGUGUGUUGUGGCAUUCCUUCAUCAGCAUUUGUCUCAAACCUCCUGCUUUUGGCACAAACAAUCAAGGGCCCUUUGUCCAUAAGACCAUAAGUACUUCGACUUCCUUUCUUCAACUAAUUUUAGAAUGGCACCGACCUGUGGGUCCUUUCCCAAAUUCUUUUCAAUUAACUUACGAAUGUUUGUUGUAACUUUGCUAGCUGUCAUUGGGGUAAUUUUUCUCAGGGUCACUAAUUCUACUCGUCGGCUCAAUGCAUCAACCACUUGAUUGGUUGUUCCCGCAAUGUGUUCUCAAAGCAAAAAUCAAACUCAGCUAAAAAUUCUUGCCAUUGAGUUUGCUUCGCUGUGAGCCUUGGUUGGGUGAGAAAGUGACUAACUGUCGCAUUGUCUGUCUUUACUACAAAGUGUGAGCCCAACAAAUAAUGUCACCAAGUUCUCAAACAGUGAAUUACUGCUAGGAGUUCUUUCUCUUGGGCUGUAUAUUUUCUCUCAACUUCACUUAGCUUUCUACUUUCAAAUACUAUUGAGUACCGCGCUUGUAGGAGAACUCCCCCAAUAGCAAAGUCAGAAGCAUCUAUUUGGACUUCAAAGGGUUAUCGAUGUCGGGGAGGACCAAGAUAGGAUCUUUCAUAAUGGCUUCCUUCAGUCCUUCAAAUACCUCUUGACAUUCGCUCGUCCAACACCAUUUAUGCUCUUUUUUUAAUAGUUCUGUGAGGGCUGUAGUUCUAUGGGAGUACCCUUCUAUAAAUCUUCUGCAAUAGUUGGCCAAUCCCAAAAACGAGCGAAGCUCACUAACAUUCUUAGGUGUUAUCCACUCAUUGAUGGCUCUAACCUUUUCCAUAUCCAUUCGAAUGUGGCCUUGUUCGACAAUGUGACUUAGAAAAUGGAUUUACGUCUGAACAAAAGCACAUUUCUCUCUUUUCACAUACAACUGGUGGUCUUGUAAUCUUUGAAGCACUAGGCAUAAGUGUUCUUGGUGUUCUUCCAAAAUAGAGCUAUAUACCACUAUGUCAUCCAAAUAAAUCACCACGAAUUUGUCAAGGUAAUCGUGGAACACCUGAUUCUUUAAGAUACAAAAUGUGAUGGGAGCAUUGGUUAGUCCAAAAGGCAUAACAAGAAAUUCAAAUGCACCAUAUCGGUUACACAGGUAGUUUUUGGUUCAUCUCCUUUCGUAAUUCUGACUUGAUGAUAGCCAGACCUCAAGUCCAAUUUGAAAAAGUAUUUGGCCUGACUCAGUUGAUCAAAUAAAAUAACAAUAAGGGAAAUCGGGUACUUGUUUCUCAUGAUGACCUUAUUUAGGGCUUUGUAUUCGACACAUAAUCGUAGGCUUCCAUCAUGCUUCUUUUGAAAUAACACAGGUGCUCUAAAGGGUGCUUUUAACGGCCUAAUGAACUCGACCUGUAAGAGUUCAUCCAAUUGUUUCCUUAGUUCAACCAAUUCUGGUGGAGCCAUGCGAUAUGGGGCAUUAGCAAGGGGUUUAACCCCUAGGAGAAGUUUAAUUUCAUGGUCAACCAAUCUUCAAAAAGGUAAGACCUUAGACAAUUGUUCUGGCAUCAUAUUUUUAAACUUUUCUAACACCUUUGUCACCCCAUCGGGUAUUGGAUCUAACUCUAUCCCAUCCUUGUAGAUCGGUAUCACCACAUAAGAGAGCUCUCCUUUUUUUAUCCCUUUCUUGAAUUAUAGUGCUAAGAUCAUCUUCUUUUCAUUUUUCAACAAGAUUGUGGUUAGCACCACACAGGGUUACUCCCCUAAGAACAACAGAUAACUAGCGAUGGGGAUUGGUAUCACCUGAGCCAACAUCAUGAAGUCUAAUCCGAAGACAACAUCAAAGUCAUUUAUGAGGGAAAAAGUGAAGUCUACCUUUCCUUCCCAUGGCCCUAACUUGGUCACACAUUCUUGGAGCUUCACUGAUUGUGAAGGCUGGUGAGUGGAUCGCUUUCAUUUGUCCGUAGUCCUUGUUCACCUUAAGACCACACCUUUUUGCUUUCUCAGGUGUAAUGAAGGUAUCAAUUGCACCCAUAUCAACCAUAGCCCUUGUGGUUUUCUUAUUGAGUACUAGGUCCACAUACAUCAAGCUUCUACUCAGUUCUUUCUUUACCAUGUUAAGUUGGGUACGAGGGUAUUUAAAAACGUAUGGAGCCCAUCCUGGUCGGUUCUUUUUCAAUCUAUUCGAUUGUCUAUGGUGCUUUUAUGAAAUCUUGGAACGAGGCUCUUAAGGCAUUAAGGGCCCCUCUAUGAGGGCACUCAGCCAUUCAAUGCAGCCCCUUGCAUAGGAAACAAGCUAACGGUUGCCUAGGCCUGAAACUUGUUGCAUGGUUUGCUCUGGGUUGGGUGUUGUCUCGACCAAAGGGCCUUUUAUCUGAUCCCCCACUUAAGGUUUAGUCCACUCUGGCCAUCUUUCCCCCACUCCCAAAGAUGGAGUUACUACCACCUAAUGGAAGAUUUUUUCAUUUUGAAAAGCUAUCAUUGUAAUCAUGAAGGCAUUCGGCUGCAGCCAUGGUCAUGGCUACAUCUUGCACCUUUUGCCUUUAUAGUUCUGUCUUGGCCCAAGGUUUAAGGCCAUCAAGAAAAUAAAAAUUUUAUCUUUUUUGAAAAUGUCUCUAAUGUCCAAUAUUAGGGUAGAAAAGCUCCUUACAAACUCUCGCACUAUUCUCGUUUGUACCAACUCUCGAAGUUUCCUUUAGGCUAUAUACUCUACGUUCUCAUAAAAGAACUGGUUUUUCAAUUCCUGCUUCAGGUCCAUCUAAGUUUUGAUAGGGCAUUCA
rnacentral:lncRNA from 1 species